GGGCCCCUGUGAUGCCUAGCACUGGGCUCUGACUAUCUGAGGACAUAGUGCCCCCCAGGACCUUUGACACCUGGGGGUCUGAGGGGCCC
ensembl:snoRNA SNORD88A small nucleolar RNA, C/D box 88A